rnacentral:rRNA from 1 species
GACGAACGCUGGCGGCGUGCUUAACACAUGCAAGUCGAACGGAAAGGCCCUGCUUUUGUGGUGUGCUCGAGUGGCGAACGGGUGAGUAACACGUGAGUAACCUGCCCUUGACUUUGUGAUAACUCCUGGAAACUGGGGCUAAUACCGGAUACGAGCUCCUGCUGCAUGGUGGGGGUUGGAAAGUUUCGGCGGUUGGGGAUGGACUCGCGGCUUAUCAGCUUGUUGGUGGGGUAGUGGCUUACCAAGGCUUUGACGGGUAGCCGGCCUGAGAGGGUGACCGGCCACAUUGGGACUGAGAUACGGCCCAGAAUCCUACGGGAGGCAGGAGUGGGGAAUAUUGCACAAUGGGCGGAAGCCUGAUGCAGCAACGCCGCGUGCGGGAUGACGGCCUUCGGGUUGUAAACCGCUUUCGCCUGUGACGAAGCGUGAGUGACGGUAAUGGGUAAAGAAGCACCGGCUAACUACGUG